rnacentral:rRNA from 1 species
UUGGAGAGUUUGAUCCUGGCUCAGGACGAACGCUGGCGGCGUGCUUAACACAUGCAAGUCGAACGAAGAGCGAUGGAAGCUUGCUUCUAUCAAUCUUAGUGGCGAACGGGUGAGUAACGCGUAAUCAACCUGCCCUUCAGAGGGGGACAACAGUUGGAAACGACUGCUAAUACCGCAUACGAUCCAAUCUCGGCAUCGAGGAUGGAUGAAAGGUGGCCUCUAUUUAUAAGCUAUCACUGAAGGAGGGGAUUGCGUCUGAUUAGCUAGUUGGAGGGGUAACGGCCCACCAAGGCGAUGAUCAGUAGCCGGUCUGAGAG